rnacentral:rRNA from 1 species
UACGGGGGGGGCAAGCGUUGUUCGGAAUUACUGGGCGUAAAGGGUGCGUAGGCGGCUUUCUAAGUUGGAUGUGAAAACUAUGGGCUCAACCCAUAGCCUGCAUCCAAAACUGGAGAGCUUGGGUUCUGGAGGGGAAAGCGGAAUUCCUGGUGUAGCGGUGAAAUGCGUAGAUAUCAGGAGGAACACCGGUGGCGAAGGCGGCUACCUGGCCUGUUCUUGACGCUGAGGCGCGAAAGCUAGGGGAGCAAACGGG